GGCGUGUCGCGGGUCGCUCCCCCGGGCUCAGGGUCACCAAAACUCCCGCAGGCCUUUCCCCCGGGCCACUGGGGGCCUGUUACCAGCAGUCGCCGCCCUGCCUUGACUGCCUGGGUGAAUCAGGUGCUAAUCGAAGCCUUGGUCUUGCAGGCUCCCCGGCCUGGGUUUUCUGAGUGCUGCCGAUUUAGGCCGGGUGGGGGGAUUCCUACGGCCCUGCCGCACCCACGGAGAGCGAGAAGGCUCACCCGGUGCAGAAAGGUGGGCUCGGUGACUCAUCUCUGGGAUGACCUAACCUCCCGACCCUGGCGGAGCAGAUGUCCGGAUGUCAGACGUCAUACCGUGACUUUGGACGGCCAGUGCGUCCCCUUCAGAUUAUAAACUGGCUCUGGUAGCUGCAUGGGUAUGUUGAUACAGUUGCUUCCGGAAAGCCCCUUUCCUUGCUAAGCAACACGGUAAUGUCUGCGAUGUGGUUCUGCCUGGAGUGGAAUACUUUCUAACCUGUAGCAGAAUUGUAACUGUCCAAAAAGAGAGUACGUAUCCAGUUGACUGCUUGGGGCCAUACGAGCAGCCUGACCGUGAGCAUGGCCCCUACAGUGACCUCAGCGUCUGAAAGGCCACUAAUUUCCAGCCCUCCAAGCAGUCUCCUGAGUAUGAACUUGGUUUCCUCCUUCCACUUAAGAGGUUUGGGGACCUCAGAUCUCAGAGCGCGGACAACUGGAGAGUGUGGCGUCAGGGGAAGACAGCAGGAGGAAUGAAUACCCAGGCAUCAUGGAAGGAAGGCUCGUCAGUCUUUCCAGAGCACGGUUGCUGAGCUUCCACCAGCACUGCCUGAGAAUCUAGGGAGGACUUCAACAAGGACAUCACAAGUUGAGGGAUUGGGAGAAACUGGUCCUUUGAAAAAAAUUAAAUUUGAAAUUUGCAGAAGUUUAUUAUUUAAUUCUGUUUUGUCUCCCUGUCAAUCUCCAAAGAAAGUGCUUAUCUUCACUCUAAAAAGGGAAGGAGCAUUUUUUCCCAAGAGCAAACCAGGAAUAAGCCAAAAAGUGUGUGGUGCAAGUCACUUCCAGAUGGAAAAUAGGUUAUCUUUGUCUUAUAUUGAC